UACGUAGGCAGCGAGCGUUGUUCGGAGUUACUGGGCGUAAAGGGUGUGUAGGCGGUUCGGUAAGUCUGGUGUGAAAUCUCCCGGCUCAACUGGGAGGGUGCGCCGGAAACUGCCAAACUAGAGUGCGGGAGAGGAAAGUGGAAUUCCUGGUGUAGCGGUGAAAUGCGUAGAUAUCUGAAGGAACAUCAGUGGCGAAAGCGACUUCCUGGACCAAUACUGACGCUCAUGUGCGAAAGCGUGGGGAGCAAACAGG
rnacentral:rRNA from 1 species